rnacentral:rRNA from 1 species
GAUGAACGCUGGCGGCGUGCCUAAUACAUGCAAGUCGAGCGAACGGACGAGAAGCUUGCUUCUCUGAUGUUAGCGGCGGACGGGUGAGUAACACGUGGAUAACCUACCUAUAAGACUGGGAUAACUUCGGGAAACCGGAGCUAAUACCGGAUGAUAUUUUGAACCGCAUGGUUCAAAAGUGAAAGACGGUCUUGCUGUCACUUAUAGACGGAUCCGCGCUGCAUUAGCUAGUUGGUAAGGUAACGGCUUACCAAGGCAACGAUGCAUAGCCGACCUGAGAGGGUGAUCGGCCACACUGGAACUGAGACACGGUCCAGACUCCUACGGGAGGCAGCAGUAGGGAAUCUUCCGCAAUGGGCGAAAGCCUGACGGAGCAACGCCGCGUGAGUGAUGAAGGUCUUCGGAUCGUAAAACUCUGUUAUUAGGGAAGAACAUAUGUGUAAGUAACUGUGCACAUCUUGACGGUACCUAAUCAGAAAGCCACGGCUAACUACGUG